UGGGGAAUCUUGCGCAAUGGGCGAAAGCCUGACGCAGCCAUGCCGCGUGAAUGAUGAAGGUCUUAGGAUUGUAAAAUUCUUUCACCGGGGACGAUAAUGACGGUACCCGGAGAAGAAGCCCCGGCUAACUUCGUGCCAGCAGCCGCGGUAAUACGAAGGGGGCUAGCGUUGCUCGGAAUUACUGGGCGUAAAGUGAGCGUAGGCGGACAUUUAAGUCAGGGGUGAAAUCCCGGGGCUCAACCUCGGAAUUGCCUUUGAUACUGGGUGUCUUGAGUGUGAGAGAGGUAUGUGGAACUCCGAGUGUAGAGGUGAAAUUCGUAGAUAUUCGGAAGAACACCAGUGGCGAAGGCGACAUACUGGCUCAUUACUGACGCUGAGGCUCGAAGGCGUGGGAAGCAAACAGGAUUAGAUACCCUGGUAGUCCACGCCGUAAACGAUGAUUGCUAGUUGUCGGGAUGCAUGCAUUUCGGUGACGCAGCUAACGCAUUGAGCAAUCCGCCUGGGGAGUACGGUCGCAAGAUUAAAACUCAAAGGAAUUGACGGGGUCAUAGCUGUUUCCUG
rnacentral:rRNA from 1 species